rnacentral:tRNA from 2 species
GGCGCGGUUGCUAAGUGGUAAAGCGACGGUCUGCAAAACCGUUAUACGAGGGUUCGAUUCCCUCCCGCGCCU